AGAAGUAUUACAUUUUUUUAUUUAUUAUCGUGCAUCAUGCAAAAGAAUGUCUAAUGCCUACAAAUAAUAAUAAUUCUACAUGGAAAAAUAUAAUAGUUAAAUUUAUUUAUUUUCUUUUUUAGGUUCUUUUUUAGUCUACAACGGCUUAUUAUCUUUGCAGAGAGGUGUUUCAGGCCUACUGGGACCACUUAAAAGUUUAUGCAGAGCACCGGCCAAGUAACACAGAAAAAGCCUUGAAGUAUACACACAUAGCGCCUUUUCUCUGAGCCUCUCAGGCCUGGCCAGGGGGAGUGUUGUUGGUUUAUGAGAGGGAAAAUAGCCCAAGCUUCAGCAAAAGUGAAACAGGAUUAAGGCCUUUGUGACACACACAAUGGUUAGGGGAAUUAGCAAUAGUUGUAGGCACUUAGAGGGGCUCUCACACUGAAGCUUAUCCCAGAUUUUGCACAAUAAUCAUUUGAAUAUCAACAGUGUUUUGCAACUACAGCGCUAAUGUAUAAACUUCUCUCUUUUGCGUUAGUCCAAAUCCCCCAGCUGAUGAAGCCGUUGAUUGAAUUUGUCUGGGGGAAAAAUAUUAUAUUACAUUUUGAAUUUAUCAAAAAAUAUCUUCUUUUUUUCUUAUAACUCUUAUUUUGGAUCUGUCUCCUGUUUUUAGUGUUCCAAUUUUAAACAUAUUUUAAAUCGUUCUAAUCUUUCCCCAUGUCAUCCAUACUGUUCCAAAGAUGAUUUUUUUUUCUUCUUGUUGGCUUAUAGAUGAUAAAUCAUUAGGUUGGUGUGUGGAAAGUAGCAGUGGGACAUAGUGUGGAGUCUGUUGGCAUCUGCUUAUCUGCCUCAUUAGACUGUCUUUUACGGGGGCUGGGAGGGAGGCAGCCACUGCUGUUAGCAGGGAGCUCACAGAGGGGAGUAAUCCUGCACUGCUACCUCACUACAAUCACACUGCCAUGCCUGGAGGAGUGUGAUGGUUUCAAAUUUUUUUUUCUGAGAAAGAGAGAGAAGUUGGAGAGAGUGAGAAAGGGAGAGAGAGAGAGAGAGAGAAAGAGGGAAAAAAGUAUUGUCUAUAUCACAAAACAUUGAGUGAGAUCAGCGGACUUGUCAAGAGGCCUUGGCUUGAAUAUGAAUGAUGAGAGAAGAGCAGGGUGGUCUGGGUGGCUCGGGCGGAGGCGGGCGAGAGAAUAAGCCCAACUGUCCCUGCCAGCCUCACAGCAGGCAAAUCAAACACAGUUGAGACACCUCCGCUCAAAAACUCUCUGAUGACAAAAUAAGAGAGGAAUGCAGCCGAAUUUCACACAGGCGGAGGGAAAGCCGGCGUUCACAGCUAUCCAUAUCAUCCUCUGCGGUGAGGAAAGUGAGCGUUCCAUAUUUUAUAAAAAGAAAAAGUUUACAACAUGGUUUCUUGUCGAGUGUUACUCAAAACGUUUUGCUGGCUGCUUAUCGUGGUUAAGUUGUUUGUUGUUGUUUUUUUCCUCUCCAUCUUGAGGGAAGCAGUUGGGUCAGCCACAAGUAAGAUGUGACGUUUUUGGGGUUGCUCUAAAUGAAGACAUUAAGACAUGAAAUACCCCGCACCCCUUGCUCACACAACUCUCCCCCCGCUCCGCCGUCCCUCCCGGCCUUCCCCAAUCCCCACAGACUUGUUCAAUUCACUAGAGUGUCUGCAUAGUUCUCUCAUUCAACUGGAUACAAUGAUCCGCGAGAUGAAUAAAGUUAUCUCUGGGGUGAAUGGGAUGUUGCUGAAGGGAGGAGACAGGGAGGACCCAGCGGGGGCCUGAAAGAAGCCCCGUUUGAGGGGCAGAUCUGAGGGGUCGGGACCCAGCUGCCUGGCCGGGUGAAAGGGACACCAGCGGGCUGGACAGGCCCAAGGAAACAACAAAACAAAUCCCCUUCCAAUAAAGACAUCCCACGCCGGACGCACCCGCGUCCUGCUGCAAAAGUUGCUGAUCACUCACAUUUCACACACUGAAACUUAAGGCUGUUUAGACUAUACAUUUAAGUGGCAGUCAGCUACUUUUUCCCUCUGCUUUUUGAAAGGGGGAGGCAAUGUAUUCAGACUAGUCCUAGUUAAUUUGAUGAAAACGACAGGGCUACAAAGUAAAAGCCAGGCAGCCUCCCCCCGGGGAAGGAAGUCAGCAAGCUCCUUUGCAACACACUCUCUGGUUCACAGGGUUCCAGUUUGAUCAACCUUCCAUCUGAGUGAUCUGUUCUGUUGCUGCGAUCUGGAUCUGACCUCAGAGCAUGCGAGGUCAGUGUUUUGUCUACUGUCCGGUGACCAGCAACAACCUUUCUGAUCCUGGAAAAUGUCAGGCAGGUGAAAUACUGGUCUCCUCUUAUCGUGGAUGAUGGUACAACAUCGUCUUGUAAAUAAUGUCACAAUGUUGUUAUCCAUUACAGUUGUUUUUGUUUUAUUUGGCACAAUUUUCAAAACCAAUAGGUCCAUUUUCAAAACGCUUACUUAAAUCACAACAGAUCAUCAAGUCUUUUUUUCAAACAUUUUAGCAUAUUUUUAAUUGUGUUAGUACAAUAAACAAUCACAAAAUAUCCUUUUCACUACAUAAAUUAAGUGUUUCAUCUUAACUGUUUCAUUCACAGUAACUGCCUUUUAUAAUACAAUCACUAUCAAACUUUUGAUUUGCAUCUCUUAUCAUUCAUUUUAAAAAAAUUUUAUAAUUUAAUUCAACUGAUCCUAAAGUUUAAUCAAAGAUUCAUUUAUUACAUCUAUAGAUUUUCAACUUGUCUGAUCAUUUGUAAGUUACAAAAUGCUGCAGGAGCUUUCAGUAACCAAUUACUAAUUAUUUUUACCCGUUAAUCACAAUAACAUACACAUAAGUUGCAAAGUAAAAUAAAAUUAUAUUGCAGAAAUUUUAUUUUCUGCUUGCAUAUGUAAAUGACUCAAUGUUUUCUCAUAUAGAAAUCUGUAAAAUGGAAAUAUAUGCAAAUUACAUGUUUGACAAAUAAGUUCAUAUUGGGUUUUCACAUAUAUGUGUCAUACAUGCAACAUGCAUUGCAAAAUACAGCCAAAAAUGCUGUUUACAAUAUAUUUACACAUUUGAAGUGGAUCAAAACCUUUCAUCCUAAAUCUGUUGAUCAACACCCAUUCUUGUCUUAAAGUAGGACAUUUAAAAAAUAUUUUUGAUCCACUUUAAAUGUUGACUACUUUAUAUAUACUGCUUGUUCAUAUUAUGUGUGUUCAAAUAUAAUUUAUUUGUAUUUUUUGUGUUUUUAAAAUCUAUUUCAUAUAUAACAUAUUUUGUAUAUGUGAAAUCCAAAUAUCAACUUGUAUGUCAUAUAUGUAAUUUGCAUUUAUUACCAUAAAUGGGAUCUUUGAUCAUGUUUUCAUGUUUUAUAAACUUUUUUAAUUAUAGCUUUUGUUAGUUUGUCUGAACAAAAGUAUGAUGUUUGCUGUGAUGGCUGUACAGCACAAGAAUAGUAAUUUAGCACUGAUGGUGAUUUUAAAUCUGUAUUGUGUAUUGUUCACUACUGAAUGAAAUGAUUGUUAAAAGCACAAAGUUGAAACAAGACGUUAUUGUUGCGUUUUGGUGAUUAAAGCAAAUGUUCUCAGUAUAUAUCACAAUGAUCUUGUGGAACGAAAAUGUGCAACGAAAAUAAAAUCAUGAAAUCAGAUUUAAAAGAAUGACUAGUGAUGUUACAAGAGUGAUCAGUUAGAAGUUUUGUACGAAGAGAUUUAAAAAUGCACACUUUACUUAUGUAAAUAGUACCAAACCAAUUUAAAAAAAUGUAUUAAGGCUACAUUUAAAAUAAUAAAAAAUAAAUAAAUAAAUA